rnacentral:lncRNA from 1 species
CGCGAGCAGCGGGAGGCCUCGAGGGAGGCGCGAACAGCGGGAAGGCUCGCGGGAGGGCUCGCAGGAGGCGAGAGGGCUCGCAGGAGGCGCGAGCAGCGAGAGGGCUCGCGGGAGGGCUCGCAGGAGGCGUGAGCAGCGACAGCGGCAGCGGGAGCAGCUGCAGCGAGCGACAAGAUCGCGAUCGGGAUCGGGAUCGGGAUCGAGAGCGGCAGCGGCAGCAGGUUAGUGUUGGGUUAGGGUUAGGGUUAGGGUUGGGGUUAUAUCGGUUUAGUUGGUUCGAUUGAACCAACUAACAACCGAACCAGGACCGAACCGGACCUAAAAUUCUGGUUCGGUCGCCUUGGGUCUGGUUCGGUCGCCUUGGUUUACCCAGACGCUCGCCCGAAGCGCCCAGCGCCUGGGCUCGGGCGAGCGCCCAGGCGGCGCCUGUUUGAAGCGCGCCGCCUGGGUCAUUAGCGAGGCGCUCGGGCCUCGCCUCGCCUUGCCCGAGCGCCUAGGCGAGCGCCCGAGCGCCUUUUGCAAUCACUGGAAAAAUUCAUUAUUGUUUUGACCAAUGAUUUAAAUAGGCGCUUGGGCGCUCGCCUAAGCGCUCGGGCGAGGCGAGGUGAAGCCCAAGUGCCUCAUUGUCACGGACAAACUUCGAAACAGGGUGUUUGAUGUAAUGCUUAUGUAUGUCCGUGUCUUUUGGCAUGUUCAUGCCUUGUACAACAUGUAGAGGGGCGGCCGAAGGCAUAAUAGUCCCAUUUUAGUUGGGUUGGUGGCCUCUUUAGGCUUGUAAAUAAAGGUUGUGUCAUGUGGACACGCUCGAGAGCUUUUCGGUCUGUAAUGGACCAUUUUACCCUUUGUUGUGCCACUGUUCAGAGCUUGUAAAGUUUGUUUGUAAUUUACAUUGUCAAUGAAGUGUUUUUCGGACAUGUUUGCUUGUGGAUCCCGAUUGAGGCGUUCUCUCUAACCCGUUCUCUCUUUUGGUGGUCCUAAGGGACAAUGGGAGGCUUCGGGGAGGCUGACCUUUGCGGACGGACACGUAGGGGUGCUGCACGACUUAGGCAAAACCAGCUAAGUCCGUGACAUAUGGUAUCAGAGCGGGACAAGCACUCAUAGAAACACUUAGCAUGCAAACGUGGGGGACCUAGCGGGGCUGCGUUGAGGGCAGUCAGCACACGCGCGACCGUUUGGGGGAAAACGGGCAUGGAGAUGUAGGGAAAAGGAGUCGCUCAGAGGAGCGGGCAUCUGAGUUUGGCAUUCAGAGGAAUGGCCAACCCUUCGCGCAAGAGGCACCACGAGAACAGGCAAGCUUGGAAGAAUGUGGAGCGCACAAAGGUUGGGAUGACUGAGUUUGAGCUACGGCUCAACGUUGACAACUUUACUUGAUGGUGCUCAAGGCAAGCGAGGCGCUUGGCAAAAGGACGAGACCAUGCAAAGUGGAAUGAGUUGCUCAGCGACCGAAAGAGUUGUGCAAAGCUCACAGAGGUGAGGGGAAUUGCUAACUCGAAGAAUUCGGUACUCAUGCAUGGGCUUGUAUGCGGACGAUGGAUUGUUCGUGGCCAUCCCAAGGCGGUCGAGACUCGGCGCCAUGGAGCAUUGAAACUUUCUCUUCGGCAUGCGAAGGAUACAUCCGGAGGAGGCUGAAGUGUGCAACGAGUUCAGCAUGUUGCUAGGCCUUGAGGGGUGCAGCGGUGGCUGUAUUGACGUGGAGGCGCAAUCUAGCAAGUGCGUUUGCAAGAGGCAGAACAAUGCACAGUUUGUUCAGCAGAUCGGAGUAGUCCAAGGGGAUGGUGGUCUCCGAAACGAAGAGAGAUGUUGCUCCAACGGGACAGUUAUCCAGGAGGGAUAAGUCUCGGCUCUCCAGAGGGAGAAUCAUGUGAGAUGGACUUCACAUGUUGAGGAGGAGUACCUCACAAACAACUCCACGAAGCUCAAUGGACCGAGCAAGCAGCGAGGAGUUGUCGCAUGAUCUCGCUUGAGAGAAUGCAUUGGUGGAUGCAUUGCGAGAUCAAGUGGGGGAGCGACCUAAAGCAACUCAAAUGAAGGCACACUUGGAGUCGAUGUAGAGAUCGGACUCAAGGGAGGGCUGACCCGUGGAAUGGUGGGCGCGAGGGCCACCAUCGACUCAAUGCAAAAACGAGGAGCGGAGCAACUUGGGUAUAACUUGGCGAAGUACCCAAGCCGCAUGAAGGGAGCCAGCAUAGAAGUUGGAACAUGGAGCAGAGGCACAGUGCUUUCCCUAGACAGAGGUCAAGGACAUGAACUCUUGCAGAGGCAGGAGUAGAAUCAUGCUGUUCCAUGGGUCCUUCAUUCUGACAGAGCGGACUCAUCUUGCAUGGUGCCAAAGACGAAGGGAGCUUCGGAGCACAUGCACCUUAUCUCGGAGGAGCAUUUGAUGAAGGAACUAAGGCGACUCAAUUUGUGGAGGCGAAGUUGAGUUCAGAAGGCCUUAGCACGGGGCAAGAGGACGCAGAGGCGGGUACUCUUGAAGAAUAUGCCACAGUGUUGUCAUUCAAAGUUGCCAUGAAGGAAGCGGUGCGCAGCGGAGAUUGUGCUGGUAGGGGCAGAGGCCCAGGAUCCAGACAAUGGUGCACAAAUUACAGUGAAGUCGGUGGACUUCGGGAGCUACUAGGCGACGGACUGUCCUAGAGCAGUGCUUCAUCUAGGUGUGACCCAAGAGUGGGUGGAUGAAGGUCGAUUGCCAAAGGAGCGAACAAAAAUCGAAGGUGGAGGAGACCCUGCGAUGUAUUGGCAGAGGCCAGACAUGGAGGGUUCACAAUUCGAGUUUAUUCCACAAGGAUCAGAAUGCAAUGGAGAUGUCACCAGGAGGCGACAUGGUGCAGCGGAUCGUGGUGGAACAGUUCGUGGCAAUGCAAUACACACGACAGUCCCGGGAGGGACUGGAUCAUAUGGAGGUAUGAUCGGGAGCUACUGGAAGCUCCACUUCGGUGAACAACACGACGGCAAGAAGGGCUAUGGGUUCAAGGAGUGAAGGCCAUGGUACCGCAGAGGCGGGUCUUCCGUGCGUGCAUCGAAUUUUGCAUCGGAUGAAAACCUUGGUCGUCAGCAUAUGGGGGCUGGGUUCCACCAAGGGAAAAGUUCGAAUGCAAGUACCAGUGAGUUCCAUGGGAGGAACUUGAUCAUGCAGAGGUAUGAUCGAAGCAGCUGGAGAGUUGGACUGCUCCAGAGCUCAUAUUCGCUUAAGGGAGCCCGGCAAGUCAGAGGACAAGGCCGAGUAAGCGAACGUUGCUACCAAGGAAGCUAAGGAGAACAGAAUCGGUGCAAACUCUACAACGUGAUGACAGAGGCCAUGCAUGGGAGUUGCAAUCUGUCUUUCCAUCGACCAAACAGUCUGCUUGGAGAACACAGAGGUGUUGAAGCAGGGGGUCGAAAGGGGCGAGGAAGCGACGACGAGUCCAGAGGGACUUAGCUACCCAAAAUCAAGCAUCAGUUAGAAUGGAGGUGGACUCAGAGGAGUGCCACAGAGACAUAUCUACUGAUUGUGAAGAAAAGGGAUUCAGAGGCGAGGCGACGGAUAGUAGCGCCAUAGGCAUGGCAGCGCCAUGGUACCGCAGAGGCGGGACUUCCGUGAAAGUCAUUGAUCCCUUGCUCUCACGGAGGGAGAGCGCUUGGUCGUGAAAGGGGCCGAGGAGGUGGAGCAUGCAGAGGCAAUAUCCAAGUACCGAGACAAGGCUGAAGGGCAGAGGCCAAGAAACUUCGUAAGACCGGUGUCAACAAGUUUCUCAUCAAGAUAGCCGUAAGUGAAGGACUUCGGGUCAUCCAAGAGUGCACGACCAAGGAACGAAGCAAGCAGUACGCGGUGCUGUACCUUUGCUACUCAGUGGAGUAGGCGGCAGGGUUGAUGGAGAAGACGGUACAAUCCCAGAGGCGACCUCAUCUAUCAGAGAAUUACUCCAAGUUGGGGUGAAAACUUCCUGCAUUCCAGAAGUUCNNNNNNNNNNNNNNNNNNNNCUGCACAAGUUCAAAGACCCUUCGAAGAGAAUGGAAGACAACAGUUGUCAAAUCCUCACCAACGGUGAUCAGUGCUACUGAGAGUAGAUUGUCCGCUUCAUUUCGCAACGAAAUGCCAAUCGAAAGCGGAAGUGAUACGAACCUACUUGGAUGUGACAACUAACUGAAAGAAGGGUCAAUGAGCAGAUGUUGUGGAGGAAGGACCCAAAACUUCAGAAGUUUGCGAGGCGAUGCUCGUUAAAGCUCCAACAAGCAUCCACCCAGUUCAAGCAGCAUGUGGAAUUUUUGAGAGACUGGCGCAGUAAGGAUGGUCUUUUCCUUCAUUUUGGUGGAUCCGCAGGAAUCAACGAGGAUCAACACAACUCAGCCAACCCCACACCAGAGUCAAGAGUCAUUAGCGAGUUGAAGCAGCAUGGCGGAUCAAAAGUUCAACUACUCAAAAACAGCAGCGGAGAGCAGCUGGGAGCCAGGAGGCGCAUUGCAGCUGGAGCAGAAGAUUGAAGAAUCAGCAAAGGCGAAGAGUUGCAGUGUUCACAAAGGCUUCGACGAGGACGUCGAAGGGAUAAGUGGGGGAGAAUGUCACGGACAAACUUCGAAACAGGGUGUUUGAUGUAAUGCUUAUGUAUGUCCGUGUCUUUUGGCAUGUUCAUGCCUUGUACAACAUGUAGAGGGGCGGCCGAAGGCAUAAUAGUCCCAUUUUAGUUGGGUUGGUGGCCUCUUUAGGCUUGUAAAUAAAGGUUGUGUCAUGUGGACACGCUCGAGAGCUUUUCGGUCUGUAAUGGACCAUUUUACCCUUUGUUGUGCCACUGUUCAGAGCUUGUAAAGUUUGUUUGUAAUUUGCAUUGUCAAUGAAGUGUUUUUCGGACAUGUUUGCUUGUGGAUCCCGAUUGAGGCGUUCUCUCUAACCCGUUCUCUCUUUUGGUGGUCCUAAGGGACAAUGGGAGGCUUCGGGGAGGCUGACCUUUGCGGACGGACACGCAGGGGUGCCGCACGACUUAGGCAAAACCAGCUAAGUCCGUGACAUAUGUGUGCACUAGGCGACGCACUUCAAUUGGGCGCCGCCUGGGCGCUCGCCCGAACACAAGCGCUGGUUGCUUCGGGCGAGUGCCCGACUUUAUUAGUGAACCGAACCGAUUUAAGGUUGGUUCAGUUCGUAGUUUCUUAACUCAAAACUACGCUUCAACCUUGCACGACCCCGAGGAACCGUAUCGCUCCUUUUUCCUUUGCCGCCGACGCUUCCUGUCGUUGCCUUCGCUACAGACGCAGCGGACCGAGCCUUCCUUUGUUGUCGACGGACGUGUUCGACGACCCUCGUAGCUUCCUUCUAUUGUCGCAUCCUUCCAUUGUCGAGGGAGAGGACCGCAAGUUCCUUCACCACCGACAGACGCCCUUUGGAGCUUCUGUCGCUGCCACUGUUGCUGUUUGCAGCUUUCGCUACCGUUGCCGCUGCUAUCUGCAACUUUCACCACUAUUGUCCGCAGCUUCUGCCGUUGCAGCUGUUGCUGUCUGCAACUUUCGCUGCUAUCACUGCUACUGUCCGAAGCUUCCGCCGUUGCCGCUGUUGCUAUCUCUAUUACUAUUAACAUUUUUUUCUCCCCCCUCUAACUUUAAGUUAUAUAUUAUUAACAGUAUAUUAAAUCACUAUCGUUGUUGUCAUUCACAGCGUUGCUGCUAUAUCCCUUUGUUACUAUUAACAAUUUUUUCUCCCCCCUCUAACUUUAAGUAAUAUAUUGUUAACAGUAUAUUUUUAAUUUAAAUAAUUAUAUUUUUAAUUAUAUUAUUUAUUAUUUAUAUUUUAAUAUUUUAGAGAAUAUUUUUUUCUCCUCUUCUAACUUAAGUAAUAUGUUGUUAACAGUAUAUUUUUAAUUAUAUUAUAUAUUUUUAUAUUUUAGAGCGUUUCGCUUUGCUUAAACAAGCGCCUAG